rnacentral:rRNA from 1 species
UACGUAGGGGGCAAGCGUUGUCCGGAUUUACUGGGCGUAAAGAGCGCGUAGGCGGACGUUUAAGUGUGGCCUGAAAGCCCCCGGCUCAACCGGGGAUCCGGGUUGCAAACUGGACGUCUUGAGGGGGAUAGGGGAAGGUGGAAUUCCUGGUGUAGCGGUGAAAUGCGCAGAUAUCAGGAAGAACACCAAUGGCGAAGGCAGCUCUCUGGGACGGUACUGACGCUGAGACGCGAAAGCGUGGGGAGCGAACAGG